GAGUUUGAUCCUGGCUCAGAACGAACGCUGGCGGCAGGCUUAACACAUGCAAGUCGAGCGCCCCGCAAGGGGAGCGGCAGACGGGUGAGUAACGCGUGGGAAUCUACCCAUCUCUACGGAAUAACGCAUGGAAACGUGUGCUAAUACCGUAUACGUCCUUCGGGAGAAAGAUUUAUCGGAGAUGGAUGAGCCCGCGUUGGAUUAGCUAGUUGGUGGGGUAAAGGCCUACCAAGGCGACGAUCCAUAGCUGGUCUGAGAGGAUGAUCAGCCACACUGGGACUGAGACACGGCCCAGACUCCUACGGGGGGCAGCAGUGGGGAAUAUUGGACAAUGGGCGCAAGCCUGAUCCAGCCAUGCCGCGUGAGUGAUGAAGGCCCUAGGGUUGUAAAGCUCUUUCACCGGUGAAGAUAAUGACGGUAACCGGAGAAGAAGCCCCGGCUAACUUCGUGCCAGCAGCCGCGGUAAUACGAAGGGGGCUAGCGUUGUUCGGAUUUACUGGGCGUAAAGCGCACGUAGGCGGACUAUUAAGUCAGGGGUGAAAUCCCGGGGCUCAACCCCGGAACUGCCUUUGAUACUGGUAGUCUUGAGUUCGAGAGAGGUGAGUGGAAUUCCGAGUGUAGAGGUGAAAUUCGUAGAUAUUCGGAGGAACACCAGUGGCGAAGGCGGCUCACUGGCUCGAUACUGACGCUGAGGUGCGAAAGCGUGGGGAGCAAACAGGAUUAGACACCCUGGUAGUCCACGCCGUAAACUAUCAGAGCUAGCCGUCGGGCAGUAUACUGUUCGGUGGCGCAGCAAACGCAUUAAGCUCUCCGCCUGGGGAGUACGGUCGCAAGAUUAAAACUCAAAGGAAUUGACGGGGGCCCGCACAAGCGGUGGAGCUUGUGGUUUAAUUCGAAGCAACGCGCAGAACCUUACCAGCCCUUGACAUCCCGAUCGCGGUUACCAGAGAUGGUUUCCUUCAGUUAGGCUGGAUCGGUGACAGGUGCUGCAUGGCCGUCGUCAGCUCGUGUCGUGAGAUGUUGGGUUAAGUCCCGCAACGAGCGCAACCCUCGCCCUUAGUUGCCAUCAUUCAGUUGGGCACUCUAAGGGGACUGCCGGUGAUAAGCCGAGAGGAAGGUGGGGAUGACGUCAAGUCCUCAUGGCCCUUACGGGCUGGGCUACACACGUGCUACAAUGGUGGUGACAGUGGGCAGCGAGACCGCGAGGUCGAGCUAAUCUCCAAAAGCCAUCUCAGUUCGGAUUGCACUCUGCAACUCGAGUGCAUGAAGUUGGAAUCGCUAGUAAUCGUGGAUCAGAAUGCCACGGUGAAUACGUUCCCGGGCCUUGUACACACCGCCCGUCACACCAUGGGAGUUGGUUUUACCCGAAGGUGCUGUGCUAACCGCAAGGAGGCAGGCAACCACGGUAGGGUCAGCGACUGGGGUGAAGUCGUAACAAGGUAGCCGUAGGGGAACCUGCGGCUGGAUCACCUCCUUUCU
rnacentral:rRNA from 1 species